AGAAUGAGAAGAUUGAUAGUGUUAUUAGUGUUCUUGUUUUGCUAAAUUUUGUAUAUUGUUAUCAAGAAAUGAGAAGAUUGAUAGUGUGAUUAGUGUUCUUGUUUUGCUAAAUUUUGUAUAUUGUUAUCAAGAAUGAGAAGAUUGAUAGUGUUAUUAGUGUUCUUGUUUUGCUAAAUUUUGUAUAUUGUUAUCAAGAAAUGAGAAGAUUGAUAGUGUUAUUAGUGUUCUUUGUUUUGCUAAAUUUUUUAUAUUGUUAUCAAGAAAUGAGAAGAUUGAUAGUGUUAUUAGUGUUCUUGUUUGCUAAAUUUUGUAUAUUGUUAUCAAGAAAUGAGAAGAUUGAUAGUGUUUUUGUGUUUUGUUUUGCUAAAUUUUGUAUAUUGUUAUCAAGAAAUGAGAAGUUGAUAGUGUUAUUAGUGUUCUUGUUUUGCUAAAUUUUGUAUAUUGUUAUCAGAAAUAGGAAGUUGAUAGUGUUAUUAGUGUUCUUGUUAUCAAGAAACGUUUGACGCUGACCCUUUAGCAAAAUCUCUCAAAAAUGAAAGGCAUUGCCAUGGGGAAUUCUCCAUGGCUUCUUUCAGUCAAAUAAGGAAUGGAAGAUCACAACCAAGUCGAUGUAAGCCAUGACGCACUGUUCGUUUGAUAUUUAUGAUGGCUUCAAAAGGCCACACCACUGCUUCUAUAUCCGUACCACAUUUUAGGACUCUAUUAUGUGAGUUAUUUCUUUGCUUCUUUUUUCUUAGCAUCUUACGUAUAUGUUAUCAAGAAAUGAGAGAUUGAUAGUGUUAUUAGUGUUCUUGUUUGCUAAAUUUUGUAUAUUGUUAUCAAGAAAUGAGAAGAUUGAUAGUGUUAUUAGUGUUUUGUUUAAAUUUUGUAUAUUGUUAUCAAAAUGAGAAGAUUGAUAGUGUAUGUGUCUGUUUGCUAAAUUUUUAUAUUGUUAUCAAGAAAGAGAAGAUUAUAGUGUUAUUAGUGUUCUUUUUUUGCUAAUUUGUAUAUUGUUAUCAAGAAAUGAGAAGAUUGAUAGUGUUAUUAGUGUUCUUGUUUUGCUAAUUUGAUAUUGUUAUCAAGAAAUGGAAGAUUGAUAGUGUUUAUUGUCUUCUUGUUUUGCUAAAUUUUGUAUAUUGUUAUCAAGAAAGUAGAAAGAUUGAUAGUGUUAUUAGUGUUCUUGUUUUGCUAAAUUUGUAUAUUGUUAUCAAGAAAUGAGAAGAUGAUAGUGUUAUUAGUGUUCUUGUUUUGCUAAAUUUAUAUUGUUAUCAAGAAAUGAGAAGAUUGAUAGUGUUAUUAUGUUCUUGUUUUGAUAAUUUUGUAUAUUGUUAUCAAGAAAGAGAAGAUGAUAGUGUUAUUAGUGUUCUUGUUUUGCUAAAUUUUGUAUAUGUUAUCAAGAAUGAGAAGAUUGAUAGGGUUAUUAGUUUCUUGUUUGCUAAAUUUUGUAAAUUGUUAUCAAGAAAUGAGAAGAUUGAUGUGUUAUUAGUGUUCUGUUUUGCAAAUUUUGUAUAUUGUUAUCAAGAAAUGAGAAGGUUGAUAGUGUUAUUAGUGUUCUUGUUUUGCUAAAUUUUUAUUGUUAUCAAGAAAUGAGAAGAUUGAUAGUGUUAUUAGUGUUCUUAUCAAGAAACGUUUGACGCUGACCCUUUAGCAAAAUCUCUCAAAAUGAAAGGCAUGCCAUGGGGAAUUCUCCAUGGCUUCUUUCAGUCAAAAAGGAUAUGGAAGAUCACACAAGUCGAUGUAAGCCAUGACCACUGUUCGUUUGAAUUUAUGAUGGUUUUCAAAGGCCACACCAUUGCUCUUCCUAUAUUCGUACGCCAUCUUUAGGACUCUAUUAUGUGGUUAUUUCUUGCUUUUUUUCUUUAGCAUACAAUCUUAUAUUGUUAUAGAAAAAAGAAAGAUUGAUAGUGUUAUUAGUGUUCUUGUUUUCUAAAUUUUGUAUAUUGUUAUCAAGAAAUGAGAAGAUUGAUAGUGUUAUUAGUGUUCUUUUGUAAAUUUUGUAUAUUGUUAUCAAGAAAUGAGAAGAUUGAUAGUGUAUUAGUGUUCUUGUUUUGCUAAAUUUGUAUAUUGUUAUCAAGAAAGAGAAAUUGAUAGUGUUAUUAGUGUUCUUGUUUUGCUAAAUUUUGUAUAUUGUUAUCAAGAAUGAGAAGAUUGAUAGUGUUAUUAGUGUUCUUGUUUGUCUAAAUUUUGUAAUUGUUAUCAAGAAAUGAGAAGAUUGAUAGUGUUAUUAGUGUUCUUGUUUUGCUAAAUUUUGUAUUUGUUAUCAAGAAAUGAGAAGGUUGAUAGUGUUAUUAGUGUUCUUGUUUUGCUAUUUUGUAUAUUGUUAUCAAGAAAUGAGAAGAUUGAUAGUGUUAUUAGUGUUCUUAUCAAGAAACGUUUGACGCUGACCCUUUGAAAUCUCUCAAAAAUGAAAGGCAUUGCCAUGGGAAUUCUCCAUGGCUUUCUGUUCAGUCAAAAGGAUAUGGAAGAUCACAACCAAGUCGAUGUAAGCAUGACCCUGUUUUCGUUUAUUUAUGAUGGUUCAAAGGCACACCAGCUUCUAUAUUCGUACGCACAUCUUUAGGAUUAUUAGUGAGUUAUUUCUUUGCUUCUUUUUCUUAGCAUACUAAUCUGUAUAUUGUAUCAGAAAAAGAAGAUUGAUAGUGUUAUUAGUGUUUUGUUUUUCUAAAUUUUGUAUAUUGUUAUCAAGAAAUGAGAAGAUUGAUAGUGUUAUUAGUGUUCUUUUUUGCUAAAUUUUGUAUAUUGUUAUCAAGAAAUGAGAAGAUUGAUAGUGUAUUUAGUGUUCUUGUUUUGCUAAAUUUUGUAUAUUGUUAUCAAGAAAUGAGAAGAUUGAUAGUGUUAUUAGUGUUCUUGUUUUGCUAAAUUUUGUAUAUUGUUAUCAAGAAAUGAGAAGAUUGAUAGUGUUAUUAGUGUUCUUGUUUUGCUAAAUUUUAUAU
rnacentral:lncRNA from 1 species